rnacentral:rRNA from 1 species
UACGAAGGGGGCUAGCGUUGUUCGGAAUCACUGGGCGUAAAGCGCACGUAGGCGGAUGUGCCAGUCAGGGGUGAAAUCCCGGAGCUCAACUCCGGAACUGCCUCUGAUACAGCACGUCUUGAGUUCGAGAGAGGUGGGUGGAAUUCCUAGUGUAGAGGUGAAAUUCGUAGAUAUUAGGAAGAACACCGGUGGCGAAGGCGGGUCUCUGGGCCGAUACUGACGCUGAGGAGCGAAAGCGUGGGGAGCGAACAGG